rnacentral:lncRNA from 1 species
CCAAUCUCACUUUAAUAUCUUCAGGAGUGUUAUCAAUGAGAAAAAAUUGAUCACAUUUAUAGAGUCACUCCUUCACAUUAUCACCAUUAAAAUAAAAAAAAUCCACUUUAGAAAGUCCGAUAGAGUAAGAAUAAGAGGACCCUGAAGUAUGAGCAGAGUUACCAAAAGAAUGAAAGUGGAAAUCACCCUCAAGAUUUUCUUUGGCAUUUCGUCGAGCAUUUGGUGUGCCCUCGAGGUUAGCAUUUGAUCCAUUGUCAGAGCUUCCCUCCUUAUCCUUGUUAUGAGAAAUAUCAAGGAUAAGCUCCUUCAUAGUCCCAAACAUUUGUUUCAACUUCUCAUCCAUGACGGUAAUUCGCUUGUUCAAAGCUUCUUCAACCUCUUUAAUGGCGAUAUUGUGUCGAGUUCUUUCAGCCAUUGCGAAAUCCGCGGUCAAGAAUU